AGUGAACGCUGGCGGUAGGCCUAACACAUGCAAGUCGAACGGCAGCACAGUAAGAGCUUGCUCUUACGGGUGGCGAGUGGCGGACGGGUGAGGAAUACAUCGGAAUCUACUUUUUCGUGGGGGAUAACGUAGGGAAACUUACGCUAAUACCGCAUACGACCUACGGGUGAAAGCAGGGGAUCUUCGGACCUUGCGCGAUUGAAUGAGCCGAUGUCGGAUUAGCUAGUUGGCGGGGUAAGGGCCCACCAAGGCGACGAUCCGUAGCUGGUCUGAGAGGAUGAUCAGCCACACUGGAACUGAGACACGGUCCAGACUCCUACGGGAGGCAGCAGUGGGGAAUAUUGGACAAUGGGCGCAGGCCUGAUCCAGCCAUACCGCGUGGGUGAAGAAGGCCUUCGGGUUGUAAAGCCCUUUUGUUGGGAAAGAAAAGCAGCAGGUUAAUACCCCGCUGUUCUGACGGUACCCAAAGAAUAAGCACCGGCUAACUUCGUG
rnacentral:rRNA from 1 species